UUGGCUCUUUGUACUCGGUGUGUGAAUAUUUACCCAAGGAUCUGCUGCUUCCCUAAGCCUUAGCAGGGUUAUUGUCUUGCAGAUGGUACCAGCACCCAUAAUGAUUGGCUACUAGGGUGUUUGCCUCAGCUAGAAGCAAGGAAUGAAGGAAAUCAGCAUGCUAGCAGUUCCAGAUGCUCUCCAGCCUCCGUGAAUUACCACUUGAAAAAAAUUCUACCUGAAACAGCAAGGACGGACAGCCACGCCUUCUAAACCUGGAGGUCACUUCAUUUUACUGGAACAAGGACUGCAAUCUUGUCCAAGAAGAGGCAGGACGUAGUGACGCAGAUCAUCUCUUCGAUGACGGUUGCAUCCGUGGAAGAUAGACUCCUUUGCUAUUCUAACCUCACGUAACUCAUAACUUAACCUGCCUGGCACCUGCUUCUUUUUGUGUGAGUCUCCAGUCUUAUCUCCAUCAUCAGCUCUCUGAACUAUUUUGGCUUCCCAGGAUGAGCAUCCAGGAGAGAAAUGGGAAACAGAGUAGGUAAGCCUUGAGUUGGUGGCAUCUGGGCUGUGACAAAGUCUUGUUGAAGGCCUCAGCUGACCCUGCAGUGAGCUCUGGAACAAUAUGGCCUCUCAGAGGUACACUUUUAGAGGUUCAGCCUAUUAUCAACAUGGUGGGAAGCAUGGCGGCAUGCAGGCAGAUGUCAGUGCUGGAGCUGAGAGUGCUACAUCUUGCAGGCAACAGGAAGUCAACUGACACACUGGGCGGUAUCCUGAACAUAGAAAACCUCAAAGCCCGCCCCCCAGUGACACACUUCCUCCAACAAGCCUUACCCACUUCAACAAAGCCACACCUCCUAAUAGUGCCACUCCCUAUGAGAUUAGGGUGUCAUGUUGGACACUUAUCCCUCUGGAACCACAAGCCCCAAU
rnacentral:lncRNA from 1 species